GUUUCUGUAGUGUAGUGGUUAUCACGCUCACCUAACACGUGAGAGGUCCCCGGUUCGAAACCGGGCAGAAACA
rfam:Mesocricetus auratus contig020558, whole genome shotgun sequence.